UUCUUCACGGGGGAGCAAGGAGAGGCAUGGGAGGGAGAAGACUAGAAAAAGGAGGCAGAGGGAGGUCCCUGGGGAAGGGUUUCUGCCACUCAUGCAUAGGUGGCCUGGGGUCCAAACUUGGGGUUUUACACCAGGGCGUGUGAGCAAGGGGCUGCGGCCAGGGGCAGAGCAUUUGCAGACCGCGCGCAGGUCUGGACAGAGCAGGAAGACGCCAAGGUUCUGCCUCCUCCCAGCUGUCAAGGCCCGAGGCAACAGGUCACCCCUUCUGAGUCCCUGAGAAAUUGGGAGGUGCUAGUCCAAGGGCACAAAGUUUCAGUUAUGCCAGAUGAACAAGUUCUGGAGUUCUGCUGUAUACCUCAAAUAUGGUGCCUGUAGUUAACAAUACUGUAUUGUGUGCUUAAAAUUUACUGAGGAUGGCUCCUAUCUUAAGUGUUCUUACCAUACACACAAAGAAUGAUGAUAAUAGGAAUAAUAAUAAAUAAAGGAAUGAAUAGGUCGGGAAGACACCUUUGGAAUGACACAUAUGUUUACGGUGUAGAUUGUGGUGAUGGUUUCAUGGGUGUAAUCUGUCUCCAUACUCACAAAGUUGCAUGUAUUAAUCAUGUACAGCUUUCUGUAUGUCAAUGAUACCUUCAUAAAGUGGUUUAAAACAAUAAAAUGGGGGGGAAUAUAGUCACUCCAAGUACUGAGCACGUUGCCUGUCACAGUAAAUAAGCAAAUAAAUGUAAUUAUGGUUUAAGCUUAGCUCAGGACUGAGAGUGGGUACUUGGCAGGUGGUGUCUGUGGCCAGCUCCUCCGCCCUGGCUCAGCACUGCUUCUGUGAAGCACAAGGGCUGCCCAAACGCAGAGACCAGCUCCAGGUGCAGCUCCUGACAGAGAAGGUGGGCUGGUCGCAGACACCUUGUUUUGGUUACUUGCUAUUCCUUCCCCCACACACCCUUUCAUUGUCCUGGUCCUUAACCUUUAACUCCUGUAAGAAGCUGGGUUUGCAGAUUUCUGAAGACAUUUUGCAGUGUGCAGACCUGUUUCACCUUUGUUCCCCAUCCUUGGGUCUGGAGAUAAAGGCAGGAAUACAGUACUCUAUGAAAGGAACAAUCAUAAACCUCAGGUGCCUCAGACUUCAAAGAAAUGGCAAACUAGGCAUCUCAUUUUAUACAUGGUCCUCUUUAAGUACACUUGUAUGUACAUAAAAUGAAAUUGUACUGAAGUAAAUCUUAUUGCUGAACGUUUGCUUUCCGGAAGAUACUUUGGUGUAAUAGUUCCUAAGAAAAUUUGUUUUUUUAAAGGACCAAAAGUGGGGUGAAUGUUUCAUGGGUAAAGACCUUUUUCGUAACGAGUGAAGGUGAAAUGAGCAGACUGUGCGACUCAGAUUCCAGCUGCGUCCCCAUCACUCCCCUCGGGAGUGUGCCGGAAGGACCCCAGAGAGCUGGCCCACUGGGGGACUCUCUUUUCUGGUUGUUGGCUGAGUAUGUAAUGUCCACUCUGGGUCAUCUAAGGGCCGAGACCAAGUACUCUGUUCCUGCUGUGACCCGUGCUUCUGCUACCACGUGCUGCACAAGAGCUGGAAAGUAGGAACUGCAGCCCGGCAAGCCACGGACCCAGGCAAUCCUAAAACUGCAAAGUCACCUGUGUUGAUUCCAGCCAGCUUUUAGUAAGUAAAUCCGUGACUCUUGUAAGAAGAGAUUUCAGAAGAUGUGUACCUUCUAGAGAAUUCACAUUUAGUGAGGGGCGUGUGAAAAGGUGUACACAAUUUUAAUCUUUUUAUUUUACUAAUAGUGUAUCUUAAUGAUUGAAAAAUAGAAAUUCCUGUAAAUAUAAAGAAAACCAGAAAGUACUCAUACUUUACACACCUAGUGUUCACGAUCUAAUGGGCCUGCUUCGCCUUCCCCUCUCUCUUCUAUCUGAGCCUGCACGAUGGACGGGACUCACCUGGUACAAGUGACGCGGGGUCGAGCUGGACUGUUGGUUUUCUGCUCUGCCUCUGCUUCCUCUCC